AGACCACCAGCUAAGGUCCCAAAAUAUAUGUUAAGUGGAAAAGGAUGUGGCGUUGCCCAGACAACUAGGAUGUUGGCUUAGAAGCAGCCAUCAUUUAAAGAGUGCGUAAUAGCUCACUAGUCGAGUGACACUGCGCCGAAAAUGUACCGGGGCUAAACAUAUUACCGAAGCUGUGGAUUGUCCUUUGGACAAUGGUAGGAGAGCGUUCUAAGGGCGUUGAAGCAUGAUCGUAAGGACAUGUGGAGCGCUUAGAAGUGAGAAUGCCGGUGUGAGUAGCGAAAGACGGGUGAGAAUCCCGUCCACCGAUUGACUAAGGUUUCCAGAGGAAGGCUCGUCCGCUCUGGGUUAGUCGGGUCCUAAGCUGAGGCCGACAGGCGUAGGCGAUGGAUAACAGGUUGAUAUUCCUGUACCACCUAUAAUCGUUUUAAUCGAUGGGGGGACGCAGUAGGAUAGGCGAAGCGUGCGAUUGGAUUGCACGUCUAAGCAGUAAGGCUGAGUAUUAGGCAAAUCCGGUACUCAUUAAGGCUGAGCUGUGAUGGGGAGAAGACAUUGUGUCUUCGAGUCGUUGAUUUCACACUGCCGAGAAAAGCCUCUAGAUAGAAAAUAGGUGCCCGUACCGCAAACCGACACAGGUAGUCAAGAUGAGAAUUCUAAGGUGAGCGAGCGAACUCUCGUUAAGGAACUCGGCAAAAUGACCCCGUAACUUCGGGAGAAGGGGUGCUCUUUAGGGUUAACGCCCAGAAGAGCCGCAGUGAAUAGGCCCAAGCGACUGUUUAUCAAAAACACAGGUCUCUGCUAAACCGUAAGGUGAUGUAUAGGGGCUGACGCCUGCCCGGUGCUGGAAGGUUAAGAGGAGUGGUUAGCUUCUGCGAAGCUACGAAUCGAAGCCCCAGUAAACGGCGGCCGUAACUAUAACGGUCCUAAGGUAGCGAAAUUCCUUGUCGGGUAAGUUCCGACCCGCACGAAAGGCGUAACGAUUUGGGCACUGUCUCAACGAGAGACUCGGUGAAAUCAUAGUACCUGUGAAGAUGCAGGUUACCCGCGACAGGACGGAAAGACCCCGUGGAGCUUUACUGUAGCCUGAUAUUGAAAUUCGGCACAGCUUGUACAGGAUAGGUAGGAGCCUUUGAAACGUGAGCGCUAGCUUACGUGGAGGCGCUGGUGGGAUACUACCCUAGCUGUGUUGGCUUUCUAACCCGCACCACUUAUCGUGGUGGGAGACAGUGUCAGGCGGGCAGUUUGACUGGGGCGGUCGCCUCCUAAAAGGUAACGGAGGCGCUCAAAGGUUCCCUCAGAAUGGUUGGAAAUCAUUCAUAGAGUGUAAAGGCAUAAGGGAGCUUGACUGCGAGACCUACAAGUCGAGCAGGGUCGAAAGACGGACUUAGUGAUCCGGUGGUUCCGCAUGGAAGGGCCAUCGCUCAACGGAUAAAAGCUACCCCGGGGAUAACAGGCUUAUCUCCCCCAAGAGUUCACAUCGACGGGGAGGUUUGGCACCUCGAUGUCGGCUCAUCGCAUCCUGGGGCUGUAGUCGGUCCCAAGGGUUGGGCUGUUCGCCCAUUAAAGCGGUACGCGAGCUGGGUUCAGAACGUCGUGAGACAGUUCGGUCCCUAUCCGUCGUGGGCGUAGGAAAUUUGAGAGGAGCUGUCCUUAGUACGAGAGGACCGGGAUGGACAUACCUCUGGUGUACCAGUUGUCGUGCCAACGGCAUAGCUGGGUAGCUAUGUGUGGACGGGAUAAGUGCUGAAAGCAUCUAAGCAUGAAGCCCCCCUCAAGAUGAGAUUUCCCAACUUCGGUUAUAAGAUCCCUCAAAGAUGAUGAGGUUAAUAGGUUCGAGGUGGAAGCAUGGUGACAUGUGGAGCUGACGAAUACUAAUCGAUCGAAGACUUAAUCAA
rnacentral:rRNA from 1 species